rnacentral:rRNA from 1 species
UACGAAGGGGGCUAGCGUUGCUCGGAAUGACUGGGCGUAAAGGGAGCGUAGGUGGGUCGGUAAGUCAGUGGUGAAAUCUUCGAGCUUAACUCGGAAACUGCCAUUGAUACUAUCGAUCUUGAAUUAUCUGGAGGUAAGCGGAAUAUGUCAUGUAGCGGUGAAAUGCUUAGAUAUGACAUAGAACACCCAUUGCGAAGGCAGCUUACUACGGAUACAUUGACACUGAGGCUCGAAAGCGUGGGGAUCAAACAGG